rnacentral:rRNA from 1 species
UUGAAAAAUUUUUAUUAAAUAAGAAAACUUUAUGUGUUGUACCUUGUGUAUCAGGGUUUAUCUAUUAAAUAGUAUUUAUUUACUGUUCUCGAUUUUAUAAGAGUUAAUUAUCUAUUAAAUUUAAUGUGUUAUAAUUAUUUUAAAUAGAUAAUUAGAAAUGAAAUGUUAUUCGUUUAUAAUGGUAUCUAGUUAUUCCAGAAAUAAAUUUAAUUUACUAGGUUUUAAUUUUUACUUUUAUUAUAUUAGUGUAAAAAAUUAUUACUUAGAAUACUUUAUGGGAUAAGCUUUAAAGUAAAUAUUUAAAAGUUUAUUAAUAAAUUAAUAAAUGUAUGCAUAGAAUUAGCAAUCAUUGUAGAGUUUGUUUUAAAUCAUUUUAUUAUUUAUAUUAUUUACUUUACUUUAAUUUUUUAUGGAAUUUAUUAUUUUAAUUUUUAAUAUUAUGUAAUAAUGAUUAAAUUAGUAUAUUAUCUUUGUUCAUAUAAAUAUAAUUGAUAAGUUUAUAUAAAGAACUCGGCAAAUUUUAUGCCCGCCUGUUUAACAAAAACAUGUCUUUUUGAGAUUUUUUUAAAGUCUGACCUGCCCAAUGAAUAUUUUAAUGGCCGCAGUAUUCUAACUGUGCAAAGGUAGCAUAAUCAUUAGUCUUUUAAUUGAAGGCUGGUAUGAAUGGUUGGACGAGGUAUAAGCUGUUUCAUAUAAAAUUAUUAUAGAACUUUAUUUUUUAGUCAAAAAGCUAAAAUUUUAUUAAAAGACGAGAAGACCCUAUAAAUCUUUAUAUUUUGUGAUAAAUAAGUUUUUUAGAUUAAGUUUAUUUUUUUAUUAUAAAAUAUUUUAUUGGGGUGAUAUUAAAAUUUACAUAACUUUUAAUUUUUAUUUACAUUAAUUUAUGAGUUUUUGAUCCAUUAUUAGUGAUUAUAAGAUUAAGUUACUUUAGGGAUAACAGCGUAAUUUUUUUGGAGAGUUCAUAUCGAUAAAAAAGAUUGCGACCUCGAUGUUGGAUUAAGAUAUAAUUUUAGGUGUA